rnacentral:rRNA from 1 species
UGCAGUCGGACGGUAACAGCAGAGCUUGCUCUGGCUGACGAGUGGCGGACGGGUGCGUAACGCGUGGGAAUUUACCUUGUAGUGGGGGAUAGCCCGGAGAAAUCCGGAUUAACACCGCAUAAUCUCUACGGAGGAAAAGGGGCCUCUUCUUGAAAGCUCCUGCUAUUAGAUGAGCCCGCGCUGGAUUAGCUUGUUGGUAGGGUAAUGGCCUACCAAGGCGACGAUCAAUAGCUGAUCUGAGAGGAUGAUCAGCCACAUUGGGACUGAGACACGGCCCAAACUCCUACGGGAGGCAGCAGUGGGGAAUCUUGCACAAUGGGGGAAACCCUGAUGCAGCGAUGCCGCGUGAGUGAAGAAGGCCCUUGGGUUGUAAAGCUCUUUCGUCGGGGAAGAAAAUGACUGUACCCGAAUAAGAAGGUCCGGCUAACUUCGUGCCAGCAGCCGCGGUAAUACGAGGGGACCUAGCGUAGUUCGGAAUUACUGGGCUUAAAGAGCUCGUGGGUGGUUAGAAAAGUUGGUGGUGAAAUCCCAAGGCUUAACCUUGGAACUGCCGCCAAAACUUUUUGACUAGAGUAUGAUAGAGGAAAGUGGAAUUUCUAGUGUAGAGGUGAAAUUCGUAGAUAUUAGAAAGAACACCGAUUGCGAAGGCAACUUUCUGGAUCAUUACUGACACUGAGGAGCGAAAGCAUGGGUAGCGAAGAGGAUUAGAUACCCUCGUAGUCCAUGCCGUAAACGAUGUGUGCUAGACGUUGGAAAUUUAGUUUUCAGUGUCGCAGCAAAAGCGUUAA